rnacentral:misc_RNA from 1 species
AAGUCGUAACAAGGUUUCCGUAGGUGAACCUGCGGAAGGAUCAUUACCAAAUCCAAAUACCCAACCCCAUGUGAAUUAUUGUAUAGUCUGUCUUUGGGAGAAAAAGAAGGAGAAAUCUGGACUUUUCUCCCAAUAGAGUCCGGCAUAACUUUUUGUUAUGUCCAGAUUCGAAACCCUUUAAACCACUUGAUUUUUCUGUUGGAAUUACUUUUAUUAAUUUUAAAUAAAAGACAACUUUUAACGGUGGAUCUCUUGGCUCGU